UCCCAUGAUUUUGAUUUCAGGAAGUGUC
rnacentral:piRNA from 1 species